rnacentral:rRNA from 1 species
AGCGAACGCUGGCGGCAGGCCUAACACAUGCAAGUCGAACGAAGUCUUCGGACUUAGUGGCGGACGGGUGAGUAACACGUGGGAACGUGCCUUUAGGUUCGGAAUAACUCAGGGAAACUUGUGCUAAUACCGAAUGUGCCCUUCGGGGGAAAGAUUUAUCGCCUUUAGAGCGGCCCGCGUCUGAUUAGCUAGUUAGUGAGGUAAAGGCUCACCAAGGCGACGAUCAGUAGCUGGUCUGAGAGGAUGAUCAGCCACAUUGGGACUGAGACACGGCCCAAACUCCUACGGGAGGCAGCAGUGGGGAAUCUUGCGCAAUGGGCGAAAGCCUGACGCAGCCAUGCUGCGUGAAUGAUGAAGGUCUUAGGAUUGUAAAAUUCUUUCACCGGGGACGAUAAUGACGGUACCCGGAGAAGAAGCCCCGGCUAACUUCGUGCCAGCAGCCGCGGUAAGAC